rnacentral:snoRNA from 1 species
ACCCACCCAGUGAUGAAGCAUUUCGGAUGUAAUUUUUUUGUCCGAGAGCGCAUAAACCCAUGUGGAUAUUUCCGUUGCCUUCCUUCUGAG